AGAGUUUGAUUAUGGCUCAGGAUGAACGCUGGCGGCGUGCUUAACACAUGCAAGUCGAACGAAACCUAUUGGAUUGAAGUCUUCGGAAUGAUUGAAAAUAAGUUAGUGGCGGACGGGUGAGUAACGCGUGGAUAACCUGCCUUACACUGGGGGACAACAGUUGGAAACGACUGCUAAUACCGCAUAAGCGCACAGUACCGCAUGGUACAGUGUGAAAAACUCCGGUGGUGUAAGAUGGAUCCGCGUCUGAUUAGCUAGUUGGUGGGGUAAUGGCCUACCAAGGCAACGAUCAGUAGCCGGCCUGAGAGGGUGAACGGCCACAUUGGGACUGAGACACGGCCCAGACUCCUACGGGAGGCAGCAGUGGGGAAUAUUGCACAAUGGAGGAAACUCUGAUGCAGCCGACGCCGCGUGAGUGAAGAAGUAUUUCGGUAUGUAAAGCUCUAUCAGCAAGGAAGAUAAUGACGGUACUUGACUAAGAAGCCCCGGCUAACUACGUGCCAGCAGCGGC
rnacentral:rRNA from 1 species